rnacentral:misc_RNA from 1 species
GCGGCGCUAGCAGCGGCGGUGCUUCAGGAACUAAACAUAUGGGAAAGGAUCUGGAUGCUGAACAUCGCAGCAAAAGGAUGACUUCAGACACCAGUAGCCCCUCUUCUUCUGAUAGUGAAAGUCAUGAGAGGAGGAGAAAGAGUAGAGUGUCCAGUUCUCACAAAGAGCGGAGUAGGCACCGAAGUAGACGCCAUUCUGAAGAGGAUAGGAGCCGUAGAGAAUCAAAAAAGAGAGUGACGAGAACACGAGAUAAAGAGGAGAGGAAACGAAGGCACAAGCAGAG